rnacentral:rRNA from 1 species
GUGGGGAAUCUUGCGCAAUGGGCGAAAGCCUGACGCAGCCAUGCCGCGUGAAUGAUGAAGGUCUUAGGAUUGUAAAAUUCUUUCACCGGGGACGAUAAUGACGGUACCCGGAAAAGAAGCUCCGGCUAACUUCGUGCCAGCAGCCGCGGUAAUACGAAGGGAGCGAGCGUUGUUCGGAAUCACUGGGCGUAAAGAGUGCGUAGGCGGUUAUACAAGUCAGGAGUGAAAUCCCAGGGCUCAACCCUGGAAUUGCUUUUGAAACUGUAUAGCUAGAGUCCCGGAGGGGUUAAUGGAAUUCCGAGUGUAGAGGUGAAAUUCGCAGAUAUUCGGAGGAACACCAGUGGCGAAGGCGAUUAACUGGACGGGCACUGACGCUGAGGCACGAAAGCGUGGGGAUCAAACAGGAUUAGAUACCCGAGUAGUCC